rnacentral:lncRNA from 1 species
CAUCACAUCAACCCCACUUAGGCCAAAUCAAACGGUUAGCACACCACGGCUCAAAUCCAACCCACCGAACUCCCCUUUGUCUUGCCUUAUGUCUAAAGCUUUCCCAUCCCUAAACUAGAAACAAAAAAAUGAAGUCACCUUGGGCCAAGAAAUCACUCUCUUCCAGCCCAUUUUUUCUUCAUUCUUCCAUUCCUUAAUUGCAAAACAAAGCCACCUAACAACCACAUUACUAUUCUUAUUGGAGGUCCCAACACCCUCUCAUCAUUUCCACUGCCCGCUCCCACUCAUCCUCCUCUUGCUUUCCGCUUACUCCCUUCCCUCCCACGCCUGUUUCUUUCCCCUGUUCCCCGGCCCCAGCAAUCAAAUUCUACUCCAAUUACUACGUACACUCCCGUUCCUAUCCUGCUCUCCAAUCAAAUCCAACCCAACUAAUUAACCAUCAC